rnacentral:rRNA from 1 species
CCGUACACAAAAGCGCAUGUGCUGUGAGCUCGAUGAGUAGGGCGGGACACGUGGUAUCCUGUCUGAAUAUGGGGGGACCAUCCUCCAAGGCUAAAUACUCCUGACUGACCGAUAGUGAACCAGUACCGUGAGGGAAAGGCGAAAAGAACCCCGGCGAGGGGAGUGAAAAAGAACCUGAAACCGUGUACGUACAAGCAGUGGGAGCACAGGUUUACCUGUGUGACUGCGUACCUUUUGUAUAAUGGGUCAGCGACUUAUAUUCUGUAGCAAGGUUAACCGUAUAGGGGAGCCGGAGGGAAACCGAGUCUUAAUUGGGCGUUAAGUUGCAGGGUAUAGACCCGAAACCCGGUGAUCUAGCCAUGGGCAGGUUGAAGGUUGGGUAACACUAACUGGAGGACCGAACCGACUAAUGUUGAAAAAUUAGCGGAUGACCUGUGGCUGGGGGUGAAAGGCCAAUCAAACCGGGAGAUAGCUGGUUCUCCCCGAAAGCUAUUUAGGUAGCGCCUCGUGAAUUCAUCUCCGGGGGUAGAGCACUGUUUCGGCUAGGGGGCCAUCCCGGCUUACCAACCCGAUGCAAACUGCGAAUACCGGAGAAUGUUAUCACGGGAGACACACGGCGGGUGCUAACGUCCGUCGUGAAGAGGGAAACAACCCAGACCGCCAGCUAAGGUCCCAAAGUCAUGGUUAAGUGGGAAACGAUGUGGGAAGGCCCAGACAGCCAGGAUGUUGGCUUAGAAGCAGCCAUCAUUUAAAGAAAGCGUAAUAGCUCACUGGUCGAGUCGGCCUGCGCGGAAGAUGUAACGGGGCUAAACCAUGCACCGAAGCUGCGGCAGCGAACGUAUCACCCAAGACAACUUUACGGAGUUGACGAUUGACGGAGCGAAGCGACGUCAAAGCGUUCAUUAAAGUCGAGUUGGCUUAGGGAUACGUUCGUUGGGUAGGGGAGCGUUCUGUAAGCCUGUGAAGGUGUGUCGUGAGGCAUGCUGGAGGUAUCAGAAGUGCGAAUGCUGACAUAAGUAACGAUAAAGCGGGUGAAAAGCCCGCUCGCCGGAAGACCAAGGGUUCCUGUCCAACGUUAAUCGGGGCAGGGUGAGUCGACCCCUAAGGCGAGGCCGAAAGGCGUAGUCGAUGGGAAACGGGUUAAUAUUCCCGUACUUGGUGUUACUGCGAAGGGGGGACGGAGAAGGCUAUGUUGGCCGGGCGACGGUUGUCCCGGUUUAAGCGUGUAGGUGUGUGUUCCAGGUAAAUCCGGUUCACUUUAAC